rnacentral:rRNA from 1 species
AUUGUUAGUGGCAGACGGGUGAGUAAUGCGUAGGAAUCUACCUAGUAGUACGGAAUAGCCAUUAGAAAUGAUGGGUAAUACUGUAUAAUCCCCGAGGGGGAAAGAUUUAUCGCUAUUAGAUGAGCCUACGUUAGAUUAGCUAGUUGGUAAGGUAAUGGCUUACCAAGGCUAUGAUCUAUAGCUGGUCUGAGAGGACGAUCAGCCACACUGGAACUGAGAUACGGUCCAGACUCCUACGGGAGGCAGCAGUGGGGAAUAUUGGACAAUGGGCGAAAGCCUGAUCCAGCUAUGCCGCGUGAGUGAAGAAGGCCUUCGGGUUGUAAAACUCUUUCAGUAGGGAAGAUAAUGACGGUACCUAUA